UCAGAACGAACGCUGGCGGCAGGCUUAACACAUGCAAGUCGAACGCCCUCUUCGGAGGGAGUGGCAGACGGGUGAGUAACGCGUGGGAACCUACCUUUCGGUACGGAACAACAGUUGGAAACGACUGCUAAUACCGUAUACGUCCUUCGGGAGAAAGAUUUAUCGCCGAUAGAGGGGCCCGCGUUGGAUUAGCUUGUUGGUGAGGUAACGGCUCACCAAGGCGACGAUCCGUAGCUGGUCUGAGAGGAUGAUCAGCCACACUGGGACUUAGACACGGGCCAGACUCCUACGGGAGGCAGCAGUGGGGAAUAUUGGACAAUGGGCGCGAGCCUGAUCCAGCCAUGCCGCGUGAGUGAUGACGGCCCUAGGGUUGUAAAGCUCUUUCAGUGGUGAAGAUAAUGACGGUAACCACAGAAGAAGCCCCGGCUAAC
rnacentral:rRNA from 1 species